rnacentral:lncRNA from 1 species
AAGCAAGCUCUUUUAUCUGGAGUAAAAAUAAUAAUAAUAAUAAUAAGGAAAAAGAGGGCUGGAGAGAUGACUCAGCGGUUAAGAGUACCAACUGCUCUUCCGAAGGUCGUGAGUUCAAAUCUCAGCAACCACAUGAUGGCUCACAACCAUCCGUAAUGAGAUCUGACGCCUUCUUCUGGGGUGUCUGAAGACAGCUACAGCGAGCAAGUGGAGCCAGAGUGAGAAGAAAAAGUCUAAAGACAGCUACAGUGUACUUACAUAUAAUAAAUAAAUAAAUCUUUUAAAAAAAUAAAAAUAAUUUUAAAAAAAUCUGUCAACAGCCAUAGAAGUAACUUGGGCCUCAAGUGAGACCCUAUUCCAUGGUGGAUGUCACAUUGAUUACAGAUUUGUGAGGUCUGAGCAGAGGAACCUGUGUUGCCAUGCCUAGACUCCAGGCAAAAAUGGUAAAUAGCAAAUGCUUGCUAUUCCAAAGCUGCUGUGUUCCUGGGAAUUUGGAAUGCCCUACCACGCAAGUGCUGGGGAUGUGAGGACCCCAGGGGCAAGCACAGCCCUGUCCUAGGGACUCAAACAAGAAAGGGGUGAUUACAUGUUAUCAGAUAAAAAUGGCAUCACCGCAGCAAGCCUACAUUCUCCCCUGAAGCUUCCUUGCUCCGAUGGCUGCCAGGAAGGGAACAGACACUGCACUCCAGGCAGUUUAGAGGUCAGAGACCAGGAAGUCCCUUCCAGGAAAGCAAGAAAAGGAAAACCAAGCCCAUAAAGUUCCAACAAGACGCAGAGAGGAAAUGGAGGGAAAACCACCUGGUCUUGUCUCCAUGACUCCUUCUUCAGCACCAUGUUUGCCUGGAUGCUGCCAUGUUUCCUUCUAUGACGAUAAUGGACUAAAUCUCUAAAACUAUAAGCCAGCUUUAAUUAAAUGUUUGUCUUU